rnacentral:piRNA from 1 species
UGAGAAUCAGGAACCCCAGGGACC